AUGAUGCUUGGGUUCAGGAGAGAAGCUGAGGGCCUAGGCAAGGCCUCAAGCAGGCAGGUGCCUGGCCCACCUGGCGCUAACCCAGUCUCCACCUAUUUUUCUUUCAGUGAAUAUUUGCUGAGCCACUUUCCCUGGGCCAAACCGAACGCCAGCCUCCGGGAACCCACUGUGGUAGAAGAGUCCCAUUUUCUCCAGGAGCUACCAGGUAGUCGGAGAGAUGGACAAAGGAGAAGUUGCGGAGAGAGUGCUACGAGAUACUGGCUGAGGAGCAAAUGCCAGAGAACAGCUGCUUCUCAUCAGAGAGGUGCUGGGUAUAGGGGAUCCCUGAGUAGAGAGGGAGCUGGCCCUCGGAUCCCUCAGUCCUGGCGAGGGGACAGGUACGUUGGGCCCCAUCGUCUUGAGUGGGAGUUGGAAACCUGCAUGAUGCUUGGGUUCAGGAGAGAAGCUGAGGGCCUAGGAUCGGAGCUUGGACCUUAUAUGAAGCAGGUGUGAGGUGUGGAAUUAGAGUGUGGUUCCCUUGGUCCUAGGAGGGAACUGAAGGCCCCAGCCUCUUGCGCUCUGGAGGGCGCUGUUCCAUGAGUCCUGGAAGAGAAGUCGGGGUUCUAGAUCCCUAGGUGGAGAGAGAAGGGCAGAGGGUAUCGCUGGGUUCCCUCUUGCUCUCUGGGUCCCCCACCCCACCUUCACUCCCACCCCUGGAAGCGCUUGUCUGCAAGGCCUCACAGGCAGGUGCCUGGCCCACCUGGCGCUAACCCAGUCUCCACCUAUUUUUCUUUCAGUGAAUAUUUGCUGAGCCACUUUCCCUGGGCCAAACCGAACGCCAGCCUCCGGGAACCCACUGUGGUAGAAGAGUCCCAUUUUCUCCAGGAGCUACCAGGUAGUCGGAGAGAUGGACAAAGGAGAAGUUGCGGAGAGAGUGCUACGAGAUACUGGCUGAGGAGCAAAUGCCAGAGAACAGCUGCUUCUCAUCAGAGAGGUGAACGUGGCUGGCUUGCGGGGUCUGAGAAUAACCUCCUUCCACCUGUGGGCUGUCAGGCCCUGGAUGUUGCACGGAAGCUCUGGGAGGAGCAGAGUGGGGCACACGGGGCGGUUUGACCAGCUGCUUUUGGUUGGCUUGUUAGACAGCGUUCAGUUCCGUCUCUGCCAGCAGUAGGGAGCUCAGCCCUCGGGUCUACAGUGUCUUUGCCACCCGCGCUCCCACUCUCAAGGUCAGUAAACCGGUUGGUGGUUCCUUCUUUGAGGACAGCCUUGCUUGCUGAAGCGUCCUCUUUCCGGUCCGCUCACAGUGCUCCUUUCUGGAUCACAGUUCCUGGUUUUUGUGAAGCAUCCUUUGCCGUGGAGUUUCCUGAGUGGCGUGUCCCAUUACUUCUCGUCUGGCAUCUUGGAGUGUUGUUCCAGACUGCGGGUGCAAAGCUGCGUGACCUUCCAUCUCUAACGUGAGUGCUGGGUAGGUCUGGCUAGGUCUGAGCUACCGCUCUGACAAGCCGGCACCUCCCCCGUCCCUCUUGUUUCUGCUGUUGGUUAAGUGGCUCUUAAGUCCACCGUGGGGAAGAUGGCGGAAGCAGAUGGAUUGUGCUGUUAGUUACAAAACGGGCACCAAGUCUGGAAACGUAGGUCUUCAACUUAUCUUAUUUAACAUCAAUAACCGUUUAUUUUAUUGGAGUAUAAUUGCUUUACAAUGUCGUGUUGAUUUCUGCUGUACAGCAACAUGAAUCACCUCCCUCCCAGCACCCCCAUCCCAUUCCAUCCCACCCUUUUAGAUCAUCACAGAGCUCUGAGCUGGGCUCCCUGGCUACACAGCAGAUUUCCCUUGGCUGUGUGUUUUACACAUAAUGGUGUACAUAUGUCAGUCCCAAUCUCCCAGUUCAUCUCACCCUCCCCACGACCACUUGUCUGUUCUCUGCAUCUGUCUCUAUUCCUGCCCUGCAAAUAGGUUCCUCAGUACCAUUUUUCUAGAUUCCACAUAUAUGCAUUAAUAUAUUUGGUUUUCUCUUUCUGACUUCACUCUGUAUGACAGACUCUAGGUAUAUCUGCCUCACUACAACUGACUCAAUUUCAUUCCUUUUUAUGGCUGAUUAAUAUUCCGUUGUAGUAACCGUUUGUUGUGUGUUGGCACAUGUUUCCAGACUUGAUGGCCAUCCUGUGUAUCUUAACUUCCACAGACUGGGAGUCAGGCGAUCUGAACCCUUCCCCACAAAGGGAGACUGUUGGAUCUGCCAGGGACCCUUUUGGAUUGUCUGUGUCACAGUUUUCCAGACGGGGAGGCAGAUGCUCAGUAAAGUGUAAGUGACCUGUUCUAGGUCACUUGGUUUCUCGGUAGCUGGGCAGCAACCGGGAUUCAGGAGUCUCUUAUUUUUUGUUCUACAUACUGUUUCGGACUUCUUCCUGCUGUGUUUUUUUCCCUUUGUUAAUAACUUGUGCUUUGACUUUAUGGAGGGUAAAAUUUGAAGAUGUAGAUGGGAAGCCUCUUUGGAAAGCACGAGGAUUGUAAGAACAUAGGAGGUAGCUGUAAUGUAUCAGCUGAUGGAGAACUUAAACUUUCUUUUCUAGAAACCAAAUUUCCAGUCUUGUAAAACACAGCGGUGGUUUAUAUGAUGAUGUAUUUCCUUUUAUCUGUUGUUUUUUUUCUUUGCAAGACUUUGUUUGCUUUUUACAUUGUUAGAAUGGAAAUUAUAAUUGCAGCUCUGAUUUAAAAAAAAAUAUUUUAUUUGUUUGGCUGUGCUGGGUCUUAGUUGCAGUAUGUGGGAUCUAGGUCCUGAUCAGGAAUCAAACCUGGGCCCCCUGCACUGGGCAUGUGGAGUCUUAGCCACUGGACCACCAGGGAAGUCCUGAAGCUCUGAUUUUUCUUGUAAUGAGAGGCUCUGAUUGUCCAAAAUGACCCUAGGGAGAACUGUCUCAGGGAUUGAUUUCACAAGCAGUGAAGAUGACAAUCUUCACUUGCUUUUUGUAGAGGCCAUAGUCCUAGGAGAACAGCAAGUAAAGGACUAACACAUACAUAUGGGUACAGAAUGGUUAAAAUCAUGCUUUGAAUGCAAUGAACGCAUUCCUGGCUACAGCUAUUUUGUUUUUGUAGGGUACAGUUUGCUGUGGGUUCUUACUAAAUGACACAUCCCAUUAUUUAGAGGAAGGUCUAGUUGUUAAAAAAAAAAACCAAAAUUUUAUUGCCACAUCCACCUUGUACAGUGAAUUUUUUCAUAUUCCUUUAAAAAAAAAGCUUUAUAGAGAUAGAGCUCACAUGCCCUUAGCACACAUGCAUGCACACGUCACCCAGUGAACGCUCAAUUCAGUGGUUUUGUUAUUUUACUCUUUCACGUUCUUGUCCAUGCUGAGUGGCUACUGUGGGUGUGAUGCUGUCUUCAGCACCAGCUAGAGCUGUUUCCAUGACUACCGAAUCCAGCAGGUAGAGUUGCAUCAUCGUGCACAUUUCAGACAUCCCAGGACUAGAUGGGCUGGGCAUGGAACAUGCAGUGUUCAGAGAUCCCAUGCUAUCUCAGGUUCCUGGGGCCCAUUGGAAAAGAGAGUACACUGCCAUCCCAGAGUCCCAGACUCUGCCCUCCUUUUUAAAAUGGAAGAGGCAGUCUGUAGGUUUUGGCCUGCAUGUUUACUUUGAGGAGGAAAACAUUUUUCUUAAUUUAAAAAAAUCCUCUAAUGAAAUAUCAUACUCCAUAUCUUGGAAAGAAAAGGUGUUUGGAUGAAGGGGAAGGAGGAUUAGAGUUUGAUUUCAAAUGUUUCAACCUGGGUACAAAAUGUUUGUCAAUCAGCUAUUCUGCUGAGUGCAUUAAAAAAAAGCUUUUUUUUUUUUUUUAAUACUUUUCAGUCCCUCAUUGCAAAUCCUUGUUGAAAGUUUAGGAAAUUCUUCUAAAAGUUUAAAACUUUUCCACCUUGCUUUUUAUUUAUUUAUUUAGUUGUGCAUUAUUUCCCUGCCUUGUUCAGUAGUUGAAAAAUUGAACUUUGCAAGUUUGAGUGCUUCCUGUGAUGUCUAUAAAUUUUACCUUCAUAAACAUUUUAAAAAUUAGGUAGAACAGGUGAUAUUGUCAUUAUUUUGUAUAGAAGACACUAAAGCAUCCCAGAGGCUUUUGACUGCUAGUAGUUUCAGAACUUGUUAGUUGCUGGAUUAAGAGAGACCCUGGAUUCCUGAUUCUGCUUCCAAGUCUUCCACCAGAUCAAGCUCGCAGUGGAACAUAAAUCAGUAUGCUGAGAGAUGUUUUCAGGUGUUCUGUAUUAGUUUCUUGUUGCUUCUGUAAUAAAUCAUCAUGAAUUUAUAGCAGCUGAAAGCCACCCAAAUCAUCUUACAGACCCAAAGUCCUAAAAUCAAGGUGUCAGCAGGCUGCAUUUCUUCUGGAGGAUUUAGGGGAGAAUCCAUUUCUUUGUCUUUUCCGGCGUCUAGAGGCUGCUCACAUUUCUUGACUCCUGGCCCCUUCAUCUGCUAAGCCAGCAGCAUAGCAUCUUUUCAACCAAAAUUGGGGUCCAGCUGCUCCCCACUCAAAAGCCAAUAAAGAGGCAAGGUUGGUCAUUAUGUAGUUAACAUCUUCCACCUGAUGGGGGUUUCAGCAUCUGCAAGACAGCUCACAAGAUAUGGCCCAGAAUAUUAUUUAUUGCCCUUGAGCAGGAAAUAAAUGUCCUUAACUGUAGUUAAUGACUCAGCUGAUAUUAUUUAGUCUUGUUGGACUGUUUACCUUUGUUUAGGCAGUUUCUCACUUCUCUAAUUAAACUUGCUCUUUGGCUAAAGUUUCUCCACAGACAAAAGGUAGAUGGAGGACAUGGGGGACAAGGACCAUAGGGUCCUGCUCCUUUUCAUCUUUACCUCUCUCUCUGUAACUUCUGCUUCGUCACAUCUCCUCCUCUGGCUUCUAUCCCUUCUGCCUCCUUCUUAUAUGAAAGACCUUUUGUGAUUACAUCGUACCCAGUGAAUAAUCCAUGAUAGUCUCUCCAUCUCCAAAUCCUUACCUUAAUCAUAUCUGCAAAGUUCCUUUGGUCAUGUAAGGUGAAUAGUCAUAGGUUUCUGGGGUUAGGGCAUAGGCAUCUUUUGGAAAGCUAUUAUUGUCAGUUCCAUGUAUUCUAAAAAAGUUUGGUGGUAGUACAUUUGGGACGUGCUGGACUAAACAGAAUUAAACAGAAUUUCUCUGCACUUUAAAAAUGGUAACCAAAGCUUCCAUUUUUGAGACUUUAGUAUCUCUGAAGCACUUUGCUAAAUUUUAUGUUGAUUAUCUCAUUUCAUUCUCAUGACAAUACAAAAAGGAGUUCUGUUUCCAUUUAUCAAAUAAACUGAAGUUCAAAGUUAAGUGACUUAUUCAAACUUACACUGCUAAUAAGUGGCAGCGCUGGGAUUCAAACUCAGAUCUAUGUGAUGCUAGAGCAUGAGUCUUGGAGAGUCAUUAUAUUAAUGCUUUAAUAUGGAAAGCAGGGGGUUUAGGAU
rnacentral:lncRNA from 1 species